rnacentral:rRNA from 1 species
AGAACGAACGCUGGCGGCGUGCUUAACACAUGCAAGUCGAACGCGAAAGGGACUUCGGUCCUGAGUAAAGUGGCGCACGGGUGAGUAACGCGUAGAUAACCUGUCUUCAUGUCUGGAAUAAUACGCCGAAAGGGGUACUAAUACCGGAUAUUCUUGCUUUUCAUAAGUUAUGCAAGCAAAGGUGGCCUCUGCAUAUGCUACUGCAUGAAGAGGGGUCUGCGUACCAUUAGCUAGUAGGUGGGGUAAUGGCCUACCUAGGCGACGAUGGUUAGCGGGUCUGAGAGGAUGAUCCGCCACACUGGCACUGGAACACGGGCCAGACUCCUACGGGAGGCAGCAGUGAGGAAUAUUGCGCAAUGGGGGAAACCCUGACGCAGCGACGCCGCGUGAGUGAGGAAAGGCCUUCGGGUCGUAAAGCUCUGUCAAGAGGAAAGAAGUGUACAAUGGCUAAUACCUGUUGUAUUUGACGGUACCUCUAAAGGAAGCACCGGCUAACUCCGUGCCAGCAGCAGC